CAGGCCUAACACAUGCAAGUCGAGCGGAAACGAGUUAUCUGAACCUUCGGGGAACGAUAACGGCGUCGAGCGGCGGACGGGUGAGUAAUGCCUAGGAAAUUGCCCUGAUGUGGGGGAUAACCAUUGGAAACGAUGGCUAAUACCGCAUAAUACCUACGGGUCAAAGAGGGGGACCUUCGGGCCUCUCGCGUCAGGAUAUGCCUAGGUGGGAUUAGCUAGUUGGUGAGGUAAUGGCUCACCAAGGCGACGAUCCCUAGCUGGUCUGAGAGGAUGAUCAGCCACACUGGAACUGAGACACGGUCCAGACUCCUACGGGAGGCAGCAGUGGGGAAUAUUGCACAAUGGGCGCAAGCCUGAUGCAGCCAUGCCGCGUGUGUGAAGAAGGCCUUCGGGUUGUAAAGCACUUUCAGUCGUGAGGAAGGUAGUGUAGUUAAUAGCUGCAUUAUUUGACGUUAGCGACAGAAGAAGCACCGGCUAACUCCGUGCCAGCAGCCGCGGUAAUACGGAGGGUGCGAGCGUUAAUCGGAAUUACUGGGCGUAAAGCGCAUGCAGGUGGUUUGUUAAGUCAGAUGUGAAAGCCCGGGGCUCAACCUCGGAAUAGCAUUUGAAACUGGCAGACUAGAGUACUGUAGAGGGGGGUAGAAUUUCAGGUGUAGCGGUGAAAUGCGUAGAGAUCUGAAGGAAUACCGGUGGCGAAGGCGGCCCCCUGGACAGA
rnacentral:rRNA from 1 species